CCUACGGGAGGCAGCAGUGGGGAAUUUUGGACAAUGGGCGCAAGCCUGAUCCAGCAAUGCCGCGUGAGUGAAGAAGGCCUUCGGGUUGUAAAGCUCUUUUGUCAGGGAAGAAAAGGUAGCUCCUAAUACGGGCUGCUCAUGACGGUACCUGAAGAAUAAGCACCGGCUAACUACGUGCCAGCAGCCGCGGUAAUACGUAGGGUGCAAGCGUUAAUCGGAAUUACUGGGCGUAAAGCGUGCGCAGGCGGUUAUAUAAGUCAGCUGUGAAAUCCCCGGGCUCAACCUGGGAACUGCAGUUGAGACUGUAUGGCUAGAGUGUGUCAGAGGGGGGUAGAAUUCCACGUGUAGCAGUGAAAUGCGUAGAUAUGUGGAGGAAUACCGAUGGCGAAGGCAGCCCCCUGGGAUAACACUGACGCUCAUGCACGAAAGCGUGGGGAGCAAACAGGAUUAGAUACCCUGGUAGUCCACGCCCUAAACGAUGUCUACUAGUUGUUGGGUCUUAAUUGACUUAGUAACGCAGCUAACGCGUGAAGUAGACCGCCUGGGGAGUACGGUCGCAAGNUUAAAACUCAAAGGAAUUGACGG
rnacentral:rRNA from 1 species